GUGAUUUUUCUAUCCACAGGAGUGAAUGAGGUUUACCCAGUUCUACUUUGGGCAAGGAAGAGUCAAUGUACUCCUCCCUGCCCAACCUGAAUCAACAAAUAAAUGAGUUUACCUCCUCUUUAAUUACAGAAUCUGAUCUGCAAAGGUCAAUCAGCUCAGAUAACCAGGGUCUCCUCAGGGAAGACAGCCAGGUAGGUCCUCAGUGGGAUUUAGAAAAGGAAACGUG
rnacentral:lncRNA from 12 species